CAAAAAGUACAGUGUGUAGAACAGGAAGGCCCUCAAAUAAAACUAUUAUUUUUAUUAAUUGUAUCAUGCUUUAUAGGCUCUCCCAUAACAGAACGUGACCCCCAGCUCUAUUAGGACAGAAAUCACUUGCAAGAGUGUGUCCCUAGCACACAGCAGGUAAAAAGCAAGCCUCUGUCUGUCCCCAUACCUUUCUUACUAGAAAACCUGUCUAAGUUGUUGACUGAUAACAGAGAGAAAAUUUGCAUAUACAGCUAAUUCUGAAUUUUCCUCACUACCUCUAGAAGAUGGGAGGGGUUUAACCAACUGUGUAACUUUCCACAUAUCAUUUCAUCUUUUUGGACAUAAUUUUACUAUAUGUACAGAGAAUCAGAGAAUUGAGCCAGACAACCAUCAAGUUUCUUUCUAACUCUACUAAUUGGCCUUGAUGAUUUAUUACUUAGAGCUUUAAAAUUUUAAUAACAUUUUCUUUUCAUGGAUAAAUUUAAAGUUAACAUCUGCGUAUCUGUUUAGAAAUGGAAAACAAUGAAUCCAUCAUAUCACAAAGUAUAGUAAUAUGAAGAAAAUAUAGAGAAUUUUUUUCCCUAUAACUUAUAAAAGUGAUAGGUCACUGAGCAUGGUGGCUCACACCUGUAAUCCCAGCACUUUAGGAGGCUGAGGCAGGAGGAUCACUGAGGCAUGAGAAUCGCUUAAACCC
rnacentral:antisense_RNA from 1 species